rnacentral:lncRNA from 1 species
GGCAAGUUUUUAGAAGGACCGUCAACAGGUGAAUCAUAAAGGUAAGGGGCUGCAAUUUGUCCAUAUUUAUCAGAUACAAUCUUGGGUUCAGCAGGUUCACGAUGACCACUUGUCAGAGCCUGAAGAUCAAGUAGAACAAAGCUAAUUUAUCAGAUACAAUCUUGGGCUCAGCAGGUUCACGAUGGCCACUUGUCAUAGCCUGAAGAUCAAGUAGAACAAAGCUUCAAUAUCAAAUUGACAUGCUAAUAAAUCUCACUUCCAAGUUUUUCCAUUGAUAGGUUAUUAUCCACAGCGAGCCU